CCUACGGGAGGCAGCAGUGGGGAAUAUUGGACAAUGGGCGAAAGCCUGAUCCAGCAAUGCCGCGUGAGUGAUGAAGGCCUUAGGGUUGUAAAGCUCUUUUACCAGGGAUGAUAAUGACAGUACCUGGAGAAUAAGCUCCGGCUAACUCCGUGCCAGCAGCCGCGGUAAUACGGAGGGAGCUAGCGUUGUUCGGAAUUACUGGGCGUAAAGCGUACGUAGGCGGUUAUUCAAGUCAGAGGUGAAAGCCCGGGGGCUCAACCCCGGAACGGCCUUUGAAACUAGAUAGCUAGAGUCUUGGAGAGGUUAGUGGAAUUCCGAGUGUAGAGGUGAAAUUCGUAGAUAUUCGGAAGAACACCAGUGGCGAAGGCGACUAACUGGACAAGUACUGACGCUGAGGUACGAAAGCGUGGGGAGCAAACAGGAUUAGAUACCCUGGUAGUCCACGCCGUAAACGAUGAUAACUAGCUGUCCGGGCACUUGGUGCUUGGGUGGCGCAGCUAACGCAUUAAGUUAUCCGCCUGGGGAGUACGGUCGCAAGNUUAAAACGUCAAAAUGAAAUUGACGGCUGAGAGUUGCGAGCGACGACGAGGGAGGAGG
rnacentral:rRNA from 1 species